CCUACGGGAGGCAGCAGUGAGGAAUAUUGGUCAAUGGGAGAGAUCCUGAACCAGCCAAGCCGCGUGAGGGAAGACGGCCCUAUGGGUGGUAAACCUCUUUUGUCGGAGAACAAAACCCGGGACGAGUCCCGGACUGCGUGUAUCCGAAGAAAAAGCAUCGGCUAACUCCGUGCCAGCAGCCGCGGUAAUACGGAGGAUGCGAGCGUUAUCCGGAUUUAUUGGGGUAAAGGGGUGCGGAGGCGGUCUGUUAAGUCAGCGGUAAAAUUGCGGGGCUCAACCCCGUCUAGCCGUUGAAACUGGCAGACUUGAGUUGGCGAGAAGUACGCGGAAUGCGCGGUGUAGCGGUGAAAUGCAUAGAUAUCACGCAGAACUCCGAUUGCGAAGGCAGCAUACCGGCGCGCAACUGACGCUCAUGCACGAAAGCGUGGGUAUCGAACAGGAUUAGAUACCCUAGUAGUC
rnacentral:rRNA from 1 species